CGACCGCACCACCCCCAUGUAGAGGCGGC
rnacentral:sRNA from 1 species